GGGCCCGCACAAGCGGUGGAGUAUGUGGUUUAAUUCGAUGCAACGCGAAGAACCUUACCAGGGUUUGACAUCCUGCGAAUCUCUUGGAAACGAGAGAGUGCCUUCGGGAGCGCAGUGACAGGUGGUGCAUGGCUGUCGUCAGCUCGUGUCGUGAGAUGUUGGGUUAAGUCCCGCAACGAGCGCAACCCACGUCUUUAGUUGCCAGCAUUUAGUUGGGCACUCUAGAGAGACCGCCGGUGAUAAACCGGAGGAAGGUGUGGAUGACGUCAAGUCAUCAUGCCCCUUACAUCCUGGGCUACACACGUACUACAAUGCUACGGACAAAGAGCAGCAAGUUCGCGAGGACAAGCAAAUCUCAUAAACCGUGGCUCAGUUCAGAUCGUAGGCUGCAACUCGCCUACGUGAAGGAGGAAUCGCUAGUAAUCGCAGGUC
rnacentral:rRNA from 1 species